AUGCCAUCCAAACAUGCAGAGAUGGGAUGAGGAAAGCCAAGGCACAGAUGCAACUGAACUUGGUGAAGGGUGUGAAAAAUAACAAGAAGGGAUUCUAUAGAAUUGCUGGUCCUGGUUAGAAUCCUUAUACAGUGCGGAGGAGCACUUCAUGCCAUAGUGUAUCCAAACUGAUGGGACAUUGCUGAGAAUGGAGCUAAAACUCUUUGCAAGCAGAGUGAUUUGAUUCUCCAGAAGUUCAGUUCUCUCCAUUGCCACCUCAAUCAGAAGAUGUGACUGCUCGGCAUCUCUCAGGACUGGUGAACUGAAGAUUCCAGCCCCUACUUGUCCAUACAACAUAUCCUGUCAUAGAGUAAAGGAAUGUUUAAAUUCUCAGCUACCCCCAUCGAAAAUGGACAAACUUUACAAUUUCAGAGUGAAUGAGUCCAAGGAACAAGUUAGAUGAUGAGCUCUAGGCUGCACAGAAUAUCUAUACUAGAUACAUACAAAUAAUCUAGAAUUUAGGAAUCUUGACCAAAUCUUUGACCAAAGUCCUUCA
ensembl:lncRNA